rnacentral:misc_RNA from 1 species
GAGCGGCAGCGCGGGGGCAACCCUGGCGGCGAGCGGCGCACGGGUGAGUAAUGCAUCGGAACGUGUCCUCUUGUGGGGGAUAACCAGUCGAAAGACUGGCUAAUACCGCAUGAGCACGAGAGUGGAAAGCGGGGGACCGUAAGGCCUCGCGCGAGAGGAGCGGCCGAUGCCGGAUUAGCUAGUUGGCGGGGUAAUGGCCCACCAAGGCGACGAUCCGUAGCUGGUCUGAGAGGACGACCAGCCAGGAGGGGACUGAGACACGGCCCCUACUCCUACGGGAGGCAGCAGUGGG